GCUCAAGUAGAGCUUCUCCCAGGAGCACAUGGGCUUAGUGAUCUGCAGCUGUGAAAACCUGUCAGUCGAAAGCUAUGCCACUCCCUUUAACUGACGUCCAGGGAAGCAUUAGAUAUAAUGGUAGGACUUGGUAACCUUAUGGCAUUAGGAGGAAAGAAAGCAUCAAAACUAGCUCUUUUCACAUUUAGGAUUCCAGAAUAAUACUGCUAUUGAAAAACAUUGUGUUGUAGAAGAGGGAAUCAGUUAUUGUGGUAAAAAUCAGAAGAUUCAAUUCCAAAUAAGAUGUGCUCUAGUUUAAACAUAUUAAAAGUUCAUUGCGAGCAAGCCAUCUAAGUGAAGAUAAUUUGUACUUCAUGUGCACAGAAUUUGAAGGAAGAGAAAGAAGAAUACUUUGAAGACACGAAAGGAUAUUGAGAAUGGCAAAAAUAAAACCAAAACAAGAAAUGCAAUAUUAAGGAGAAAGAAAUGUUUUUAAAUAGUCAGCAGAGUCGGCUAACAGAAUUCAAGGAAGAUGAGGACUGAGUAUCAAUCCGUUUUAUUUGGUUAGAAAGAUUUCAUUUUAAAAAAGAAGUUUCACUGCAGAAGAGGAUUAGUGAUUGAAGACUCACCAAAAAAUCCAAGGAAUACGGGAUGAAUAACACUAGAAUGGGUCAAAGUAAAGAAAAACUGGUUUAGGAACCUGAGAAAGGAAAAUCUGUGUGCAGAGGAGGGGAGUUUAUUUAAUUAAAGAGUGUUUGUGUCAUGUGUAUGGGAGGGUAUGUGUAUGUGUAGGGAGGGUAGAAACAACCGAAGCUCUCAGUACAAGCAAUAAGUAGGUGGACACUUGAUAGAGAUAUUUGGAGAGAAAAAACAGGUGAGGAUAAGGAUGUCAGAAAUGCAUCAGUAUCAGGAAGCACGUGAUUCUCAGCAGAGACAGAGCUCUUCCCACUUAAGGAAACAGGAAAAUGACACAUCUUUUUUGGUCUCAGGCUACAUCAGAACUAACGACUUCCCACCUCUGGGUGGGGUGAGAUCCAUCUCAGGAGGCAAGUGAUAUGACAGAAGAAAAGGCUUCUUCUUCACAAUGAGAGCUUCAAAACGGAAAGGCACUUGCAUGCCAGCAUAUUUGCCCAGCUGUGCAGUAAUUGUCUUAAAUGUGAACUGAUGGAAGAAAAACAAACAAUGAGAGACUUUGUCCUCAACCCCAGACACUGACAAUGAAACCAUCCAAAGCAAAAAUGACAUUGAGAGUGAAAAUAAAACCUAGCCCAACCUGAAUGAGUGUUCUGUUUGUUUUUGAAAUGAGAUAUUCUAUCUCAAAAACUGUUGAGGCUUACUCUGGUGUCUCCAGGUUAAGGCUUGAAAUAAAA
rnacentral:lncRNA from 10 species